GGAAGAUCCAGGAACUGCAGAGGGUGAAAAAGCUGUGCAGGCAGUGAGUCAAAGCCUGGAAAAGCAUGUUUCCAGAGGGGGAGUGGAGGCCUAAACACUCUGCUGACUGUGUGUCAAAUACCUUGAACACACAUGUCUGGAUUGUGACUUUGCUUCAGCCAGGCAGACACCUUGCUGUUCGCAGCAGUGUUGGCUGAAGGGUGUGACGGGCAGGUGCUUCUGCACAGGUGUUCCUUAUCUGAGAGCAAUCAGCUGGGCUUAUUUAGGGAGUGGAGAGCCAGAGGAAGGAGUGUGGAAACUCUAAGCUGCGAUGCCUUCGACUGAUUGUCCGUGCUCUAUUCUCCAACUCCAAGCCCAGCCUUCCAAAGAACCCUCCAAGCCAAACUCAGAGGAUUAUUCACCUGCCUGUCCACCCUCCGACGUCCUUCUCAAAUACUCCGCGUAAAUAGAAGAACACUCAGCUAGAAAUUACUGGAAAUUAUCCGCUCACUGCCUGCCAGCCACAGACACCGUGGAGAAAGACUUAUCUGCCCCUGCCUUGCUCAGACUCCCUUCUCAAACAAUUCCAGUCUGAUCCGCUGACCCAGUCCUGGUUCCUACUCAUUCACAACUCAGGGUUCAAAUAAACUGUUUAAAAACGU